CGGGUGGCAGCAGUGGGGAAUCUUGCGCAAUGGGCGAAAGCCUGACGCAGCCAUGCCGCGUGAAUGAUGAAGGUCUUAGGAUUGUAAAAUUCUUUCACCGGGGACGAUAAUGACGGUACCCGGAGAAGAAGCCCCGGCUAACUUCGUGCCAGCAGCCGCGGUAAUACGAAGGGGGCUAGCGUUGCUCGGAAUUACUGGGCGUAAAGGGAGCGUAGGCGGACAGUUAAGUUAGAGGUGAAAGCCCAGGGCUCAACCUUGGAAUUGCCUUUGAUACUGGCUGUCUUGAGUAUGGGAGAGGUGUGUGGAACUCCGAGUGUAGAGGUGAAAUUCGUAGAUAUUCGGAAGAACACCAGUGGCGAAGGCGACACACUGGCCCAUUACUGACGCUGAGGCUCGAAAGCGUGGGGAGCAAACAGGAUUAGAUACCCGAGU
rnacentral:rRNA from 1 species